UGAAAAAUGACUGGUCGUGGUAAAGGUGGCAAGGGCUUGGGAAAAGGUGGCGCCAAGCGUCAUCGCAAAGUGUUGCGUGAUAACAUCCAGCAAGAAUUGGCCACACUGUAGACCACAUACGAUCACAUUGUUUCUUUGAGCUGGAUGCUAGAAAGAUAAAAAUGGAGAGGCGCAUUCAAAUUCAAGAAGCGAUUGCCAAAGGGGACGAAAAAUACAAAUUAAUUAACAAUUCGAAAGCCAAAAGUCUUAUUUGGCAGACGUUUAAUUUAAUUGAAUGCUGUGGUGAGAUCCUAAACUUUGUGUGCUGCAAAAAGUGCAAAGUUGUAUUCGCAUACACGCCGAAGACCGGAACCGGCGUAUUAAAUCGUCACAAAUGUGCCGUUCAAGCGGACGCACGCCAACCUACUUUGCCGUCUUUUGUGCAUAAAAAAGUUCCGCAAAAUGUCAUAAAUAACCUGGCCAUCAAACAGUUGGCUUUCGUGGCUAAGGAUUUACAGCCUCUCAGCGUCACCGAAGGCGAAGGAUUCCAGGG